GGAAGCAAAGCGGGUCUCUCCUUCUCCUUCUCCUUCUUGACGCCAAAGGCUCUUUCUCCAUCUUUCUUCUUCUUCUUCCUCCUCUGUGGAGCGAAAUUGGGGGAAGCCUCUGCUGCCUUCACAAAGGACGGAGCAAAAAUGAAGCAUCAGGAAUUGCCAGGACUGCCAGAAGCGAAGCUGCAAUUAGCCGAGCGGAGCCAAGUAGAUUCAACCAGACGCUGUCGUUGUCGCCGUCGUCACCGCCGGAGGUGGCACAACCGAGUGUGGACAGUUAGUCGUCCACUCACUUCAUCAAAGAAGAAGAAGAUCACACUCUCUCUCCGCAUCUGUAUCCGACAAAUCGUAAGUUCAUGUUUCUUCCGAUUUUGGUGUCUUAUUGCGCGUGAAUUAGGGCUCUAUUCUUCAAAUUCAUUCCACAUUCGAGUCUAAAAACAGGAGUUACUCAAACAAGCAAUAUAUUGCCCUUAAAUCUACAUCUUCUGUACUUCCCUCCCGAGCAUUGGCGAGAUUUCUGCGUGUUUGAGCUCUCAUAGAUGGAGAUGAUAUAUUGUGUUCAAGGUCUCAUGUUGAAAUUUCUUUAGGUAGAGAUAUCUCUGUAACAUCAGGUACAAAUUUCUACCAGGAAAAAGGGAGAAAUCAUGGAACUUGAAAAUAUUCCGAGAAUUGCAUGCCUUGUCAAAAAUCUGAAAAGUCACUUUUACGCCUUGAUCGUAAUAUAGUCUGGACCGUCUGAGGAAUCACUUGUAAUCUUGAUUGGUUAAGUGAUGCUGGAAGGAUAAAAUUUAUUUCCAAUUUAUGCUAAAAUCUUUUUCAUAGCAAGUCAAACUAAUGAAGUGUACUUAAACUAUCUCUAAAGUUGUCGUUUUUUAAGUACAGGCAGGUCCAAACAUUCGAGCAGAUUGAGGCAUCCUGAGCUGGUUUUUUAUGGUCCCAUGCGCCCAAGGCCUCUCACUGCUUUUACAUCGGCCAACAAAUUUCAAAUGGAGCAUCCCUUUUCCAAAGGUGGUGAUGAGGCCUUCUUAUGUUAAGUUUGGCUUGGUAUGAUCCCAUGCUUGUUGAGUCGAGCUCAUGUCUGAAAAUCAAACAUAUCUUAGCUUAUACUCUGGUUUAUAUGCAAGUUGACUUAAUGUAAUAAACCACAUGACAUGUUAUUUUCCUUGAAUUGUUCAUGGGUGUAUGUUUCAAACCAGGUAUAUAUCUUAACAACAAAGUAGUUGAAGUAGGGAAAAGAAUGAAAGGACGGUUAUCGGGACAUAAGCUGGUGGUCAAGGUUUGAAAAGAUAACAAUUAUCUCCUUUUUUGUGGAUAGAUGUUUUGGAAAGCAAUUGCUGGAGCAAGUGUUAAGAAUUAGAAUCCAAGUACUCUUAUAUGGAGAAAUUUGACAAUGUUAUUCAAUGCUGUAAAAGUAGUAAUUAUAUAAAUCAUACAAGGGGACCAGUUGAUACAGACAAUCAAAUUGCAAAGAAUGUUGCUCCCUCCGUGGCUCAAGGGAAAGACCUAAAAGAUAAAAGGGUGGCUAGUUAUGAUUCUGAAGUUUGAUCGUAGAUCUUGAUGACUCUUAUUAUUAAUGUCAAACAGGAGAUACUGUUUUAUUCUGUUAUAUUAAUAAGAUAUUUGAGGAAAAAAAUAGAUGAGUUUACUUUGUCGAAUUGAAUCUGUAGUUUGAUAAAAUUCGAGCUGCAGUUGAAAGAAUUGAACAGCUUAGAUUGAAAUUUUCACUUCCAUCCAUGUUCCAGUCAUCGAUGUCUUUGCCUUUUCCCCUGCACUUGUGGUUUGUGUGGCUGAAAUUCACGGUCUCAAAUAUACAUAGGACAUGGAAGGCCUUUUCUAGUUAUGUACGCGAUCGCACUCCAGGGGCAUAUAUCUUGACAUUUGACCUUGGGUUGCAAGUUGAGAUUGUUUACUCGUAUUAUAUGGUUUAUUUUCAAUUAAAACUCCUGAAACUAGCAACUACUGCCUUAAAUUCGUAUUGUGUGAUUAGAUUCUCUCAUUAGUGUAUGCUUAUGUUUUGGUCUUUCUUCACCAUAAAUUGGUUUUUGACCAUGUAAAUGGGGACUCUGCUCCUGUUCAAUUCAUCAGGCAACAUAAUCUGGAAAAAAUGUAAAUUGCAACUCUCAGCUAUUCAGACAAGUCAUGGACGUUGAAACUCAGGAGCCAUGGACGUGGACACAGGGGGGCCUUUUUUUCUGCUGGUUGGCCCACAUUUGCUAGAGAAGCUCAUCUGCAUGUAGGAGAUGUUUGUAUUUUUGAGCUAAUUGAUAGUGAGGAUGUGUGUUCAGAGUCUACAUUUCCACUAGAGCUGGUAAGGACUUGGUUUACAUUGAUUGAAAUGAACUAUGGAAGUGUCAUUUUCGCUCAUCCAAAAUAAAUCCUGUAUUCAUCGUCAUUUCUUCUUUGGUGGUCUUGGUGAAUCAAUGAAGUAUACUUCUUCCAUUCCCGUUGUGUUUGUGAGGUUCGCAAUAAUCCAGAUGCUCACUUAUUAAUCUGCAUCCCAAAUCUAAAUGAACCAAAAAGGAUGUGAUUCAAGAUUAGAGCAAAAGUUAAAGCCUGAAACGCUCGUCAUGAGAAUUUAGAGAGGCGUGACUUGUUGGUUUCUAAGUUAUGUUUAUGUGAACAACGACACAUUCUUUUUCUUAUUCUCUCUCAAAAUUUGUGAAAUUCUCCUAAUAAGCUUUUUGUAUAUUGAUUUUGUGGCAUUAUGAUUUAGGAGGUGCUAAGGGUAGUAAUCAAUUAUGUCUAAAAUGCAGAACAUGUAGACAUUAGUACCAUGAUCACAAGUACUGAUGUUUAGAUCAUUGUAACUCAAUACAAUGUCGACAGUGGUACCUGCGAGAAUUUUCUUUUUUCUUUUGUGCCUAUCGAUCUGAACAGUCUAAAUGUCAUGUAGCCCUCCUGAGCAGGUUUUGUAUGGUUCCACGUGUCCAUGGCUGGCCACUGCUCUUGAAAAAACUAGAGAAUUUGAAUUUGAGCAUCCACUUUUGAAAUUGGUGAUUUGGCCACUUUUAUUAAAAAGAGAAUUGCAGUAAGGGCCUAUUUCCUUUCAUAAUUGGCAUAUCCCAACCGUGAUGCCAUCUACAUCUCGCCCUGUAGUCUACUAUUUUCCCAAGUGGUUUUGCUUUUUAUUGGAGAUGUUGUUUUCUUUGAAAUGUGUAUGGCUUUAUGUGUAAAACUAGGGCAGUUUUGAUUUUGAAUUUUUUUUUUUUUUUUUAAUUAUGGAUUCAGAAGAUUACAGAUUCUUAAAUAAUAGAUUGUACUUUCCUCACUACUCAGGUGUAAAGAAGAUUGCUUUUGUUCAUUGACUAAGAGGAUGUGGUGAGACAAUCAGUGUUAGCACACCUGAAGCGUUAUCAUGAGAGUUCAAAAAUAGUGUACACUAUUGUAGAGUCUAUGAGCACUGUAUCGUGACAUUUUAACAUCAAAUUGCAAGUUGGGAUUGAAGACUUCUAUUUGUCAGUUAACACUGUUAAUUGAAUUUACUGAAACUAGUAAAUACUAGCAUAUAUUAACAUUUUGUUUGCCUUGUCUUUUUAUUGUUUGUUUGUAUUUAAUCUUUUCCUCAUCAUGCUACAUUGGCGGAGUGUUCCUUGUGAAUUCAUCAAGAAGUACAUUCAGAAGAACCAUUAGAUUGCUACUCUUAGGUAUUUGAACAAAUCAUGACCAGUGCAACUCAAGACCUAUCAACACCAUUUUUUAGCAAACAUCUCUGUGGUUGGCCCAUGUUUGUGAGACAAGCUUAUCUGGAUGAAGGGGAUGUCUUCGUGUUUGAGCUCAUUGAUAUGGAUGAUUUUAUGGUCAAAGGCUCCAUCUCCAAUUAUGCUUGUAAGGACCUCAUUUAGGUCGAUUGAGAUGAACAUUGGACGCAUCACUUGAGGCUGUAUAUUAGUGAAGCAAUUCCUGCCUCACUUAUUCAGUUGCGACAAAUCAAUUGAAAGUGCGCUUACUUUUGGCUUUGCUUCUCUCUCUUGACCUACUUAUAGUCUUAUCAGAAUUCUCUUUUUUCUUUUGUCCAGGUCAGAACAGACAAGUCUGAAUGUCCAGUGAGCCCCUCCUAAGCAAUUUUUUCAUGAUUCCAAGUGUUCGAGGCCUCUCACUGCCCUUGAGAAAGCUAGAGAAUUCAAAUUGGAGUAUCCCUUUUCCAGACAGUGAUGUGGCCAUCUUUUCUUAAGAAAGAAGUGGUGGUAAGGCCCAGAUCUCCAUUCAUAACUGACGUCUCAAUUAUGCAUGCCACCUAUUCUAUAUAUGCGCCCCACUGUGCAAAUUUUUCCCACGUUAAUUUGGUUUUUAUAGAAACACAGGACAUGUUAUCUUCUGUGAAGUGAUCAUGGUUAUAUGUUUUAAACAGGAAUCUUAACAACUGAGUAAAGGGACUAGGAAAAACAAUAAGUUGGGACAGUAAUCAGGAAAUAACCUAAUGACAGGGGGUGCGGAGACAGGAUCAGAGGGUUGGGAAAGGCAAUAACAACCAUAAGUUAGCAAUUUAAUAGUUUCUAAUUGAAGUAUAAGUUCCUCCCAAAGAUGACUACUUGGUACUUUCUCAGGCUGCCUAGGCUUGGGAAGAAGAGGUGACACGAAAUGUCCAGCUUAAGCCAUAGCUACUGCAACAGGCCUAGGCUUGGCAUGACUGAGCUCACUGCAACAGCAUGGCAACACUAGUCAGAUAUUGCUCACUGGCAACAAAUGGUUUACAAGAGCUACCAUUGCAAGCAGGUUCAAACUUGCAAUCGAAAAUGAAGGGAAGCCAAUGUGGCCUAGACCUCAAAAAUUAGUGCCACCAACUCGAUGGUAUGAAACGAAGAAAAGAAGCUCACUUCUUUUUGGCCAGGCAAAAGAAGAUCACUUACUUUCUGUGCUUGUGUGUCCAUUUAGGUCCCUAUGUGUAGCUUUUCAUGUUUAUUCGAUGCAUAUUGCAAUGUAAGAUUGGUGACUCAGAUAUUCACCAGAUUCAACUUGUCUCUAUAUUGAUUACACGUACUUAGUGUAGAAUCUAAGAGCACAGGAUUGUGAUAUUUUGAUUUCAGAUUGCAAGUUGUGAUUAAAGGCGAUCUCAUCAUGUCUUUUAGACUGCUAAUAUGGACUUUGGAAACUAACAACUACUAGCAUAAAUGUACGUUUUGUUUGCCUUUUCGCUUUAGUGUAUGCUUACAUUCCUAUGUGUUAUCAUAUAUUGGCUGGUCAAAUGUCUUCAUGGGUAGAGUGUUCUUAUGAAUUCAUAAAUACAUGCAUUCAAGAAAACCAGCGAAUUGUGACUCCUGGGUGCUCGGACACAUUGUGGCG
rnacentral:lncRNA from 1 species